rnacentral:rRNA from 1 species
UACAGAGGUCUCAAGCGUUGUUCGGAUUCAUUGGGCGUAAAGGGUGUGUAGGUGGCGCCGUAAGUCGGGUCGUGAAAUCUCGGGGCUUAACUCCGAAACUGCAUUCGAUACUGCGGUGCUUUGAGGACUGGAGAGGAGACUGGAAUUCAUGGUGUAGCAGUGAAAAUGCGUAGAGAUCAUGAGGAAGACCAGUGGCGAAGGCGGGUCUCUGGCAAGUUCCUGACACUGAGACACGAAGGCCAGGGGAGCAAACGGG